GACGAACGCUGGCGGCGUGCUUAACACAUGCAAGUCGAACGGUAAGGCCCUUUCGGGGGUACACGAGUGGCGCACGGGUGAGUAACACGUGGGUGAUCUGCCCUGCACUUUGGGAUAAGCCUGGGAAACUGGGUCUAAUACCGGAUAGGACUACGCGAUGCAUGUCGUGUGGUGGAAAGCUUUUGCGGUGUGGGAUGGGCCCGCGGCCUAUCAGCUUGUUGGUGGGGUGAUGGCCUACCAAGGCGACGACGGGUAGCCGGCCUGAGAGGGUGUCCGGCCACACUGGGACUGAGAUACGGCCCAGACUCCUACGGGAGGCAGCAGUGGGGAAUAUUGCACAAUGGGCGCAAGCCUGAUGCAGCGACGCCGCGUGGGGGAUGACGGCCCUCGGGUUGUAAACCCCUUUCAGCACAGACGAAGCGUAAGUGACGGUAUGUGCAGAAGAAGCACCGGCCAACUACGUG
rnacentral:rRNA from 1 species